GGAGAUUGGAAAAAUCAAAACUUCACAGCAGUGAUAAGAGCACUGAAAAGAAGCAGAUUUCCUGAGUCUUGAAAGGAAGGGGAAUUGGAAGAUAAUAUUUUUCUCACUGCUGUGCCUGUGUUUUCUUAGGCCCAGCUAAAUCCAAGGCGGUCUCUCCCAGGCCUAGGCUCUCCGGAGGACUGCGCGCAGGCAGCUGCCGAGGGAACAAGGGAACUUGCUGCCCAAAAUGUGUAGCUGCGAGUCCAAGAAAAGGACACAAAAUCCUCAGGAAGAAGAGUCUACAGACAAGGUUUGGUUGGCACCUGUGUUUAUGGACCUCUUGUAAUAAAUCAAGGGAACAUGGGGAUGAGGCCCAGGCUGUACUGGAGCAGGGAUUGCAAUUGCCAGACAGUCCAGAUGUUUCUUCUGGAACCAUUUCCCUUCUUCCUAAAAUAUGUCCUUUGGAACUUCCUUUAGUGAGAGACUUUGGAUAAUAAAACUCUCAUUUUUUUGUGUGCU
rnacentral:lncRNA from 1 species